GCCAACUAUAGACCCGCGCUCAAACCUAAAAUCGAAGUUUGGGAUCCCAUAGACACAUUGGCAAUGCGAAAAAUAGAUCGUUUGCUUGCAGUUGCAGCUCUCCCGAAUCCCAGCGCCAAAUCCACUCAAAAGAAGAAAGAACGAAAAGAAAGAAAAAAAAUCAAGGAGCAGGACAAGCAAUCCGUCCAGAAUUUGCUGUGCUUCGACAAAGGUGCAGGCCCGAAGCGGGGAGAGUGGAAAAUCCAGGGCGAAACAGCGCCGCCCAAAAUCCUACAGCUCAGGGAAACCCCGCGGCAGAUCUAGAACGGAAAGCUACAAAUCUAAUCUACCCCAAGAAGGAAAAACCAAGUCCAGCAGAGCGCAGAGCGAGAGAGAGAGAGAGGGAGGGGAGGGUCGGGUCGUAGUUCGUACCUUCCAUGGGGCG
rnacentral:misc_RNA from 1 species